CAACGGGUAGGUAUUGGACAGAGUAGACAGAACCUGGACAAGCAGGCUAGUAUCCACAGAGAAGGUCUUUGGGAAAACUGUAAUGCAAUACUUACCUUCAAGAGCAGGUGAAGCUGGAGUGGUGCUGGAAUCUUGUUGUGUUGCUAACGUUUACAAAGUGCUUACUUUGUGCCUGGAGCAAUCUCAAACAAUUUGGGAACGAGUCAUGUGAUCUUCACCAGAGUCUUAAUGUAACCCAGUGCAUUUUCCUGGAGGUAAUGAAUGAGUAGGUACAUCAGAAGACAGUGAACUCUUUGAAAGCCUUCAGUACUGAAAGCAAUGAAUGGCCACAGAGCCUGGGAUAGAGAAG